UACGUAGGGUGCAAGCGUUAAUCGGAAUUACUGGGCGUAAAGCGUGCGCAGGCGGUUAUGUAAGUCAGAUGUGAAAUCCCCGAGCUCAACUUGGGAACUGCGUUUGAAACUACAGGACUAGAAUAUGUCAGAGGGGGGUAGAAUUCCACGUGUAGCAGUGAAAUGCGUAGAGAUGUGGAGGAAUACCAAUGCGAAGGCAGCCCCCUGGGAUAACACUGACGCUCAUGCAC
rnacentral:rRNA from 1 species